ACACGAAGGGAUCUACAAGCCUAUAUGGACGGAUUUAAGGAAACGCAAGCCCAGGAUUACUAGAAACCAGCUAAGUUCCCAAUCCACUCCCUUUCUUACAUUAGUGCCUACUUAGGUAUCAUACCUACUAUAGAAACUAGAUUACAAACUACAUCUUAACUUCAUAACAAACAGUGUAUUCAAUAUAAAUCCUCAUAAAGCGCAGCUAUAGAUAUCUACUUAGCCAUCGUUAUCUAGUGCCAGCUGCAGCUAACGGUAAAAAAUCACAUGUUUACGCCGUCAGUACUAGUUGCCGGCUUAUCGAAAUAACAAGUAAAUUAAAUCAAAUUCAGUGCCUAUUGUGAUUAAAGUGCAGUUAUCUCAAUAUUUAGUGCAUAAAACAAGUACAUUACGUGUUUUUUCAACAGAUAUACUAGUACACAAAGAUAUUAGGACCUAACGAGUACAUAGUGCUAAUUAUCUUAACUAAAACUACGAAUUACAAAUCGAAUGUGCCCAUGAAGAAGCUGCCGAGCAAUACUCCCAGCGGAAUACUUUCGAGGCAACGUACUACAGCAGCAUCGCUCGCGCCCAGCUCCUGCUGAGCGAGGCGGAGGGUCCUGCAGGCAGGAGUACUAAGUCACCACCAGCCGAUAUGCAGGUGACGGAUAUGAAGCGCACAAAGCUCGGACCAAAAUGACUUAUUGCCACUCACACCUGGCCACUUCAUCAUCGGGCGAAGUAUGACGGCGAUCCCAGAAGAAGACCUUACUUCACGCACCAGAUUAGUGGACAGAUACCAGAAGAUUCAACAGCUUCGCCAGCACUUCUGGGCACGUUGGCAACUAGAAUAUAUAAGUGAGCUUCAGAUCCGAACUAAAUGGAGGCAGUCGACGAACGGGCAACUAGAGAUUGGGACCCUCGUCGUUAUCAAAGAUAAGCAACAACCUCCAAUAAAAUGGCUCCUAGGGAGAAUACAACGAGUCUUCCCAGGGCGCGACGGCGUUACCAGAGUUGCAGAGAUUCAAACUGCCACUGGACUGCUGCGCAGAGACUUUACCAAGAUCUGCCCCUUACCCGUGGACACUACAGUUGAAGACGACACUUCAAGGUCCGCCAGCAUGUCGCGUACCACUCCAACAGGGCGACCGCGGGGUGAGGUGACAGCGGGGAGCAGCCAUCUUCGGGAUGGACUUGCUUACUAGCCACCGCGGCCAUGACUCGGCUCUUUACAUUUUUGUAUAUUUUUUUAUAAUUAAAAUCAUAGUAACAAU
rnacentral:misc_RNA from 1 species